UCUGGCUUUGGAUAGCCAUGGCUGAAGCUUCAAGAGCUCUGCAAACCACUCUCAUUCCCAGUUUCCAUUCACAACACAAAGUCUCACAUUUCAAAAUUUCCGUAGAAACCCAAAUUCAGUGCUCAGUCUCCACAUGUGACAGCACCAGAAACAGAGUGACCCAGAAGAUCCAUGGGCCUGUGACAUUGAUUCCUUGUAAAACGCUUCUCCUUUGCAGAAAUGGCUGACUGUGUCAGGCUGUCCACCCCAAAAAAUAGCCAUAUACAAAGUUGAAGAGGGGGAGAGAGGACUUGUGCUGUGCCUCCUAUUUUUUAUUUAUUUAUAUUUUUACUUUUGAUCACUGCAGAAUCAGUAAGAUUUUUUUUAGAAAAUUUGUUGGAGAGUUACUCACUUUCUUUUUCUCUUAAUUAGAAAAGUGAUUUGGCAGCCCGUAAUUAUGUGCACCUGUAUUGGAAUUGGGCACUACAACACAACUUUUUCUCUCCCUAUGAUGUUUGUGCUUGUGUGUUUUUGAAUGUUGGGAGUGGACUUGUGGCAUCAAUGAACUUUUGAGAAUAGUAUUCUUCAAAGCUCUGAUUGUUCCUUCAUUUGAGUUUUUUGAGAUAUAUUAUUCUCAACUUGAUAAUAAUGUUCUUGUGACUUGAUGAUCUUAUAACUAAUUGAUUGGCUAUUUCUUCCUAUCUCUGGUGCAGAUACAAUGAUUUCAGGUUAAGGAAUUCUCCAAGUAUCCUGCUUUAUUUCCUGAAGAGGGCUCAGUGAAUUAGGCUCUGUUGAUAGUGGUGGCUGUAAGGCGAGAUACAAAGCAGGGCCUAGGAGUUGCACCAAUGAUAAAAAUAGAAGCCAAGAGCCUUUGUCAAACCUGCAAAAAGGAAGUCAUAUCAUUGUACACCCAAAAUGGAGCAAAUGCAGACAGUAGAAUGAAAUCAAGGCUCAUCACGUGAAUCUGCGUCAUGAGAGUUCCAAAAUGUGGCACAAUUCAGUGAGAUGUUCACGUUUGCAUUACACUAUAUAUGAGGAAAAAGAAACAGCCUUUACUUGAGCAAAUAACUUAGUUAUAUGUACAACGAUGACUAAGGCCGAACCAGAAAAUGUUAACCGAACCAGAAAAUGUUAAGUUUCAAGUAUUUUCAGAACUUCAACGUAUUAUUAUUGGUAGGUUAUGAUCUACUUUUUAACCAUAUAGUUUUCCUGUAUGAGAGAAUAAUAGCCAAUCUUUUUCAGAUAUGAGAAACUAAAGAAGUACCUCUGAAAUGUAUGUGUUGAUGGUUGAGUGACUUACAAAUUUACUUUCAUUGAAGUA